rnacentral:rRNA from 1 species
UACGGAGGUGGCAAGCGUUGUUCGGAAUUACUGGGCGUAAAGCGCGCGUAGGCGGCCCCGUAAGUCCGCUGUGAAAGUCAAAGGCUCAACCUUUGAAAGCCGGUGGAUACUGUGGGGCUAGAGUCCGGAAGAGGCGAGUGGAAUUCCUGGUGUAGCGGUGGAAUGCGCAGAUAUCAGGAGGAACACCAAUAGCGAAGGCAGCUCGCUGGGACGGUACUGACGCUAAGGCGCGAAAGCGUGGGAGCGAACGAGGA